rnacentral:rRNA from 1 species
GACGAACGCUGGCGGCGUGCUUAACACAUGCAAGUCGAACGGAAAGGCCCUGCUUGCAGGGUGCUCGAGUGGCGAACGGGUGAGUAACACGUGGGUGAUCUGCCCCUUACUUUGGGAUAAGCCUGGGAAACUGGGUCUAAUACUGGAUAGGACCAUGCUGUAGGUGGUGUGGUGGAAAGAUUAGUUUCGGUAAGGGAUGAGCUCGCGGCCUAUCAGCUUGUUGGUGGGGUAAUGGCCUACCAAGGCGUCGACGGGUAGCCGGCCUGAGAGGGUGGACGGCCACAUUGGGACUGAGAUACGGCCCAGACGCCUACGGGAGGCAGCAGUGGGGAAUAUUGCAAAAUGGGCGCAAGCCUGAUGCAGCGACGCCGCGUGGGGGAUGACGGCCUUCGGGUUGUAAACUCCUUUCAGCCAUGACGAAGCCCUUGUGGUGACGGUAGUGGUAGAAGAAGCACCGGCUAACUACGUG